rnacentral:lncRNA from 1 species
CCAAUAUGCAAUUAAAAAAUAAAUUAAAAGUCCAAAUGGCCUAAGGAAACCUCUUGGCCGUGAGUCAUGUUUCAACAAGUCAAACUUCAAUUUCCACCUUCAAUAAGCCACCAAAAUGUGUUGACUUCUUGUCCUAUGUGCACCAUUCUUCAAGGAAAUAAGCAUGUACCUUAAACACACAAUAAAACCAUGUUUUCCUCCCUUCCCAUGCAGCAAAAACGUGAUUGUACACACCAAAGCACACAAAAACGUGAACUACAAGGUGGUUGUUGCAAAAAAUGCUUCAAACCAAGGGGUAAAUGAAAGAUCCUUUGAAUGCUUCAACCAAGAUGCCAUGUAAGCAAAGUCAAAAGGGAUAAAAACAAUCACAAUUCAUUCUCAUCAUCAAACCAUUCUCGGCAGAUUGCAAAGAGAGACAAAUCUCAAAGUGGAAACAUUCCUUGGGUGGAAAUAAGCAUCUCAUAUGUUUGCCCAAAAGUGGUAAAAAUUAAAUGCAUCAUUCUCUCUCCCUUCCCAUGCACCAAACGGUUUUCUUUCUUCUCUACAACCAACAAUCAAAUUUCUUUCAUUUCUAAUUACUAAGAAUGCAUCCAAACAACCCAAGUUCCAAAUGCAAAACAAUACACACAUCAAACACAAGUCUACCUCCUUCAACCCAACUUCUAACUCUUUUCUCUUCAAAUUUUUGACAAAAACAAAAUUGAAUCCCUAAACCCCUUUGCAAAACCGUCCAGCCCCCAUCAUAAAACACAAUGUCCAGCUCAAAAUAUUACUCUCAACCAUCAAACAAAAGCUCAAGAAGAAAAGAGUCUAAACCUGAAACACCCAUGCACCAACUCAAGCCUUUUUCAUUACUAAACUCAACAAGAACUCCAUUUUAAUCAUCCAACCAAGAAAACCAAAAGGGAAUACGAAAUUAGUGCAGCAAAGGAAGAGAAAAACGAAAUACAAAAUGGGUCUUCAUUCAACCAAAGGAAACACCAUGAAAAUGCAAGGAACAACCUCCAAACUCAAGCUUUCAAACUUCAAAACAAAAAUAUAAGAAGAGGAAUGAUAGAUCUUCAUUCCAUUAAGCAAAAACUAGCAUGGUUGCAAGCAAGAGGAGAAGAAAAAUAUGAUCUUUGUUCAUUCCAUGCUCCAAAAACGAAAAUGGCACACCAAAGCUCCCUAGAGAGAGUUCAUACAUGCAAAGCAAAAAUGACAAGUGAGAGCUUGAGAACUCGGCAAUUCCCACUAAAAAGCCAUCCCACACCCUAAAAAAUGGUGGGUGCACCUCUAAGAAACCCUAAAGUCUAUGCCAAGUGUCCCACACAAGGCUUUUUUACAAAAUUGCCCCUAAAAGGGUCCAAAACACCUAAUUCUAAUCCAGGG